rnacentral:rRNA from 1 species
CGCGGCCUAUCAGCUUGUUGGUGAGGUAACGGCCCACCAAGGCGACGACGGGUAGCCGGCCUGAGAGGGUGACCGGCCACACUGGGACUGAGACACGGCCCAGACUCCUACGGGAGGCAGCAGUGGGGAAUAUUGCGCAAUGGGCGCAAGCCUGAUGCAGCAACGCCGCGUGAGGGACGACGGCCUUCGGGUUGUAAACCCCUUUCAGCAGGGACGAAAAUGACGGUACCUGCAGAAGAAGCUCCGGCCAACUACGUGCCAGCAGCCGCGGUAAUACGUAGGGAGCGAGCGUUGUCCGGAAUUAUUGGGCGUAAAGAGCUCGUAGGCGGUUCAGUAAGUCGGGUGUGAAAACUCAAGGCUCAACCUUGAGACGCCACUCGAUACUGCUGUGACUUGAGUCCGGUAGAGGAGUGUGGAAUUCCUGGCGUAGCGGUGAAAUGCGCAGAUAUCAGGAGGAACACCAGCGGCGAAGGCGGCACUCUGGGCCGGUACUGACGCUGAGGAGCGAAAGCAUGGGGAGCAAACAGGAUUAGAUACCCUGGUAGUCCAUGCCGUAAACGUUAGGCACUAGGUAUGGGAUCAUAUCAACGGAUUCCGUGCCGUAGCUAACGCAUUAAGUGCCCCGCCUGGGGAGUACGG